AUCUUUGCGCUUGGGGCAAUGACGCAGCUAGUGAGGUUCUAACCGAGGCGCGUCUAUUGCUGGUUGAAAACUAUUUCCAAACCCCCUCUUAGGCCUUGGUUCAUCCUGGGCCUACGAGAAUUUCUGGAAGGACUCCCUUAGAGGCAAGUC
rnacentral:snRNA from 2 species